UACGUAGGGUGCAAGCGUUAAUCGGAAUUACUGGGCGUAAAGCGUGCGCAGGCGGCUUUGCAAGACAGAUGUGAAAUCCCCGGGCUCAACCUGGGAACUGCAUUUGUGACUGCAAGGCUGGAGUACGGUAGAGGGGGAUGGAAUUCCGCGUGUAGCAGUGAAAUGCGUAGAGAUGUGGAGGAAUACCGAUGGCGAAGGCAGCCCCCUGGGCCAAUACUGACGCUCAUGCACGAAAGCGUGGGGAGCAAACAGG
rnacentral:rRNA from 1 species